AUGCUGCUGCUGAGAGGAUUCACCUUCUCCUGCCUCUGGGUUUUUGGGCUUGGGCAGUUGGAGCAACCUGAAAUAUCAGUCACCAGAGCAACAGAUGGGAGUGCCCAAAUAUCCUGUAUAGUUUCUAUUCCAGAAUUCGACAACACACAUAUAUAUUGGUAUCGGCAGAAAACAAAUCAACAGAUUGAGUAUCUAAUAUAUGUCAGGACAAACUACAAUCAACGCCCCCUAGAUGGACAGAACAAGAAAAUUGAAGCAAGUAAAAAUUUUCAAACUUCUACUUCAACCUUGAAAUUAAAUUACUUGAAGAAAGAAGAUGAAGCUACCUACUACUGUGCACUCUGGAUAAACACAACAUGGGUCAAGAUAUUUGCCAAAGGGACAAAGCUCAUAGUAAUUCCCUCAGACAAACGCUUGGAUGCAGACAUUUCUCCCAAGCCUACUAUGUUUCUUCCUUUGGUUGCUGAAACUACUCUCCAUAAGGGUGGGACAUACCUUUGUCUCCUUCAGAAUUUCUUUCCUGACAUUAUCAGGGUAUAUUGGAAAGAAAAGGAUGACGAUAAGAUUCUGGAAUCUCAGGAGGGAACCACCAUGAAAACUAAUGACAGAUACAUGAAAUUAAGUUGGCUGACGGUGCCAGAAGAUUCAGUGACUAAAGAACAUACUUGUAAUGUCAAACACGAAAACAAUAAAAGAGGAGUUGACCAAGAGAUUUUGUUUCCUCCAAUAGAUAAAGUUGCCAACAUCAUUGCUCCCACAGAAGCUGCUUUGAAGACUGAGAAUGUUUUCACACCUAUUCAUGUUAAUCCCAGAGAGAGUGUUUUCAGACCUGAAAGUGUUAACAGUGCUACUGAUCGGGACGCUUGCUUGAGAGGAAGAAAGGAGAUGCUGCAGCUUCAGGUCACCACCACCUCUGUAUUCUACACCUACCUCAUCCUGUUCUUUAAGAGUGUGGUCCACUUGGCCUUUGUUGUAUGCUGUCUGUUUAGAAGAACAUCCGUGCCUUGUGAUGGUCAACGUUCAUAA